rnacentral:rRNA from 1 species
GAUGAACGCUGGCGGCGUGCCUAAUACAUGCAAGUCGAGCGAACGGACGAGAAGCUUGCUUCUCUGAUGUUAGCGGCGGACGGGUGAGUAACACGUGGAUAACCUACCUAUAAGACUGGGAUAACUUCGGGAAACCGGAGCUAAUACCGGAUAAUAUUUUGAACCGCAUGGUUCAAAAGUGAAAGACGGUCUUGCUGUCACUUAUAGAUGGAUCCGCGCUGCAUUAGCUAGUUGGUAAGGUAACGGCUUACCAAGGCAACGAUGCAUAGCCGACCUGAGAGGGUGAUCGGCCACACUGGAACUGAGACACGGUCCAGACUCCUACGGGAGGCAGCAGUAGGGAAUCUUCCGCAAUGGGCGAAAGCCUGACGGAGCAACGCCGCGUGAGUGAUGAAGGUCUUCGGAUCGUAAAACUCUGUUAUUAGGGAAGAACAUAUGUGUAAGUAACUGUGCACAUCUUGACGGUACCUAAUCAGAAAGCCACGGCUAACUACGUGCCAGCAGCCGCGGUAAUACGUAGGUGGCAAGCGUUAUCCGGAAUUAUUGGGCGUAAAGCGCGCGUAGGCGGUUUUUUAGGUCUGAUGUGAAAGCCCACGGCUCAACCGUGGAGGGUCAUUGGAAACUGGAAAACUUGAGUGCAGAAGAGGAAAGUGGAAUUCCAUGUGUAGCGGUGAAAUGCGCAGAGAUAUGGAGGAACACCAGUGGCGAAGGCGACUUUCUGGUCUGUAACUGACGCUGAUGUGCGAAAGCGUGGGGAUCAAACAGGAUUAGAUACCCUGGUAGUCCACGCCGUAAACGAUGAGUGCUAAGUGUUAGGGGGUUUCCGCCCCUUAGUGCUGCAGCUAACGCAUUAAGCACUCCGCCUGGGGAGUACGACCGCAAGGUUGAAACUCAAAGGAAUUGACGGGGACCCGCACAAGCGGUGGAGCAUGUGGUUUAAUUCGAAGCAACGCGAAGAACCUUACCAAAUCUUGACAUCCUUUGACAACUCUAGAGAUAGAGCCUUCCCCUUCGGGGGACAAAGUGACAGGUGGUGCAUGGUUGUCGUCAGCUCGUGUCGUGAGAUGUUGGGUUAAGUCCCGCAACGAGCGCAACCCUUAAGCUUAGUUGCCAUCAUUAAGUUGGGCACUCUAAGUUGACUGCCGGUGACAAACCGGAGGAAGGUGGGGAUGACGUCAAAUCAUCAUGCCCCUUAUGAUUUGGGCUACACACGUGCUACAAUGGACAAUACAAAGGGCAGCGAAACCGCGAGGUCAAGCAAAUCCCAUAAAGUUGUUCUCAGUUCGGAUUGUAGUCUGCAACUCGACUACAUGAAGCUGGAAUCGCUAGUAAUCGUAGAUCAGCAUGCUACGGUGAAUACGUUCCCGGGUCU